AACAUUUGUUUUUUAUUAAAUUUUUGUUAUAAGAGGUUAUUCUUAGUUAUGGCUUCAUAUCCAGUGAUAGAAGAAUUAUCACUGGAUUCAGAGCUAUAACUAAGAACAAUUCCCUUAUAGAAGUAGUCAUCAACACUGCAUUAAGAAGAAAAAUAAAUGUUAUUUGGCAUGAUUAGAAAUCAUAAAGAACUUAGAAUGUAUGGGUAUAUCUAAAUUAGAUGAUGAUGAUCUCAAUUAUUUCUGCUAAGGGAUCAGCAUUAUUUCUGCAGGCCCAUUAGCAGAAAUAAUGCUUAGAUCUUUGGAAAAUCAAUGUAUCCCAACUUCCAUCCAACUUUAAAAUUUUACAUAAGAUUUGUAGAUGAUGUUAUAACAAUAUGGAAGAACAAUACAAGACUAGAGGAUUUCACUAGUGCCUUUACAUUAGAUAUUUGUGGUGUCUCCUUAAGAAAUGAACAACAAAGCAAACAUACUGCAGGUGCAAUUAACAGGAAAUCAGAAAUGACUAUAUAUAGAAAGCCAUCCUGUGAACCAGUCCUUAUAUCUAAUUAAUCCCAGGAUCCUAUAAGUUAUAAGAAGGAAGCAUCCAGAUACUUCUUUAGAGAUGAUCACAUAU
rnacentral:lncRNA from 1 species